CGAAGUUAAAACUUAGAUAUUACUCGAUAAACGGAACUUGCAGAAUCAGCCGGAGAUUGUGUCGAUGCAGUCCUGCCAACCUGUACGAACUCGUGAAAGAAAAAGACGUAUUGGCGAAGUCGCCGACUUGAAAGUAAAGUGCGAUGAAAAAGUAGAUUGUUUUGUAUUAUGUUCUUUACAAAUCUCUAAAGAUGGCUAUUUAUAGCCUGUUACAACUGAUUUCCUAACGGAUUAAGAUCUAUCUCUAAUUUUAAACGAAAACACAACACGUAUCGGAGUUGGUUACUAUGUUCCCACGGACCAAGCUUCCUCUAUCUUCUUUCUCUACCCUACUUUAAGCCCAUAUUGGCC
rnacentral:lncRNA from 1 species